rnacentral:rRNA from 1 species
CCUACGGGUGGCAGCAGUGGGGAAUAUUGGACAAUGGGGGCAACCCUGAUCCAGCCAUGCCGCGUGUGUGAAGAAGGCCCUCGGGUUGUAAAGCACUUUCAGUGAGGAAGAACGCCUGGUGGUUAAUACCCAUCAGGAAAGACAUCACUCACAGAAGAAGCACCGGCUAACUCCGUGCCAGCAGCCGCGGUAAUACGGAGGGUGCGAGCGUUAAUCGGAAUUACUGGGCGUAAAGCGCGCGUAGGUGGCUUGAUAAGCCGGUUGUGAAAGCCCCGGGCUCAACCUGGGAACGGCAUCCGGAACUGUCAAGCUAGAGUGCAGGAGAGGAAGGUAGAAUUCCCGGUGUAGCGGUGAAAUGCGUAGAGAUCGGGAGGAAUACCAGUGGCGAAGGCGGCCUUCUGGACUGACACUGACACUGAGGUGCGAAAGCGUGGGUAGCAAACAGGAUUAUAUACCCUGGUAGUC